UACGUAGGGGGCUAGCGUUGUCCGGAAUCAUUGGGCGUAAAGCGCGUGUAGGCGGUCCGGUAAGUCCGCUGUGAAAGUCGGGGGCUCAACCCUCGAAUGCCGGUGGAUACUGUCGGGCUAGAGUGCGGAAGAGGCGAGUGGAAUUCCUGGUGUAGCGGUGAAAUGCGCAGAUAUCAGGAGGAACACCUAUUGCGAAGGCAGCUCUCUGGGACGGUACUGACGCUGAGACGCGAAAGCGUGGGGAGCGAACAGG
rnacentral:rRNA from 1 species